UACGGGGGGGGCAAGCGUUGUUCGGAAUUACUGAGCGUAAAGGGCUCGUAGGUGGCCAACUAAGUCAUACGUGAAAUCCCUCGGCUUAACCGGGGAACUGCGUCUGAUACUGGAUGGCUAGAGGUUGGGAGAGGGAUGCGGAAUUCCAGGUGUAGCGGUGAAAUGCGUAGAUAUCUGGAGGAACACCGGUGGCGAAGGCGGCAUCCUGGACCAAUUCUGACACUGAGGAGCGAAAGCCAGGGGAGCAAACGGG
rnacentral:rRNA from 1 species